rnacentral:rRNA from 1 species
UGGGGAAUAUUGCACAAUGGGCGCAAGCCUGAUGCAGCCAUGCCGCGUGUGUGAAGAAGGCCUUCGGGUUGUAAAGCACUUUCAGCGAGGAGGAAGGGUAGUGUGUUAAUAGCACAUUGCAUUGACGUUACUCGCAGAAGAAGCACCGGCUAACUCCGUGCCAGCAGCCGCGGUAAUACGGAGGGUGCAAGCGUUAAUCGGAAUUACUGGGCGUAAAGCGCACGCAGGCGGUUUGUUAAGUCAGAUGUGAAAUCCCCGCGCUUAACGUGGGAACUGCAUUUGAAACUGGCAAGCUAGAGUCUUGUAGAGGGGGGUAGAAUUCCAGGUGUAGCGGUGAAAUGUGUAGAGAUCUGGAGGAAUACCGGUGGCGAAGGCGGCCCCCUGGACAAAGACUGACGCUCAGGUGCGAAAGCGUGG